CGAGUAAAUUUAUUUUUUUCCUAGGUAUAAAUAGUAAGAGACUUGAGAUCUUCAAUCACAGUUAAACAUUGCAUCUCAGACGGUUCGGUUUUGACACACAAACUACAAACAAAAUAAAUAAACAUGAAGUUCUUAUUGUUGACUCUUUUGGUUUGCUUCGUUGCUUUGGCUCUAGUAUCUGCUGCCCCAUUGGAAGAAGGAGCUCCUGAGGACGACGAAGAUGUUUUUAAAUUGUUAUCAUUGAAGAAGAAACUUUUGGUGUUGGGUUAAAAAAAAGUGAACAAAAACUAAGAAAGGAAAACCUGAGUCACAAUGCCAUUGGAAAUACCAUUUUAACCAAAAUUAAGAAGAUAUGUGGUUUAAGCUUAGAACACACACUAUAUGAAUUAUUUAUAAGUUACGGAAGCAGAGUAAAAAUAAAAUUAAAAAAAAA